AGGUUCUGUUUUUAUUACUUAUUUUUCCUACACACCAAAAAGAUAGAAGGUUUAAUUCUAAUGUUGACACUGCCAAGUUUAGGAGAUUUGAAAUCAAGCCCGCAGGAUAUGAAGAAAUUCUUGUCGGUAGAAGUAUGAUAUGAUGACUAUCUAGACAAUAUAAGGUCAAAGUAAAUAACUGGAAACAGAGGGGAACAUUUUCAAAUACAUCCAAAACAUUAAGCUUGGUACCAUGUACUAUAGGAUACAUGUUUGUCCCUCCACUGCAGAGAUUUCACAUGCUUGUGAAAACACAAAAAUGCAUAUAUAGUAUAAAUAACUACAUAAAAUUAUGAGUCCUUAAUUUGUGGAGUAUGGAAAUGGAAUGGAUGCCAAUGUAUUGUUCAUA
rnacentral:misc_RNA from 1 species